rfam:Schistosoma haematobium scaffold1512_16, whole genome shotgun sequence.
GGACUGCUCAAGAGUCCCAUACUAGGACGAAACGGCCGUCCAGUGC